AUAAGUCGGUCAUGGAGGGUAAGGACUGACUCAAAGGAGGACUUACAAUACUUAACUUAAAUAAUAUUUAUAAUACUUUCAACUUCGUCUGGAGUCCGGACUGUGAGCUGGUUUAACACGUUGUGCACGGCUGACGUCACGCGGGAGUCUACGGAAGUUUGUCGUUUUGAUGCUCAAAAAAUUAACGUCUCAUGGGAUGUGCUGAUGUCUUGGGUGAGUUAACGCACAAUCUCCAAGUUUUUGUGUGUCACUUGAGAUGCAUGUUUUUGAAUUCCGAAAUGUACGACCUUUUGGCCGUUCGACGUAAGAGUUGCACUGACCUCACGGCGGACACAGCAGGUAUAUGGAACCCCACAUGCUAGUGGGCCGGUACCAUUGCAGAAAUGGUAUUGGUUGACUCCCCAAUCCUUAUAUUCAUCUC